rnacentral:lncRNA from 1 species
GAACAUCCACGCACAUAUACCUAGCUAACUCAGAAGGAAUUUCAAGAUUUGUACCACCAAUAUUGAUCGCUCUAGAUGUUGAUGAGCUAGAACUAGAACUAAAUGAAGGAGCACUUGUAUUGCUAUCUAAAUAAUUCCAUAAAUUUUCGGGAUUUGUUGUAAUAUUUCUUGAAAAAGAACUUUGGGAAGUAGAACUACGCUGACCUUCCUUUUCAGCAUAAUAAUUAUACAUUUCACAUAAAAAAGAUUCUAUAUGCACGUGUGAUAAUUCUAUAUUCAAAAAAUCUGAUAUCCCCUUUACAGUAGUUUUUGUGCCAGUUAAAUUAAGUCGAGGGUCCAUUACUGAAGCUAAAAGAAAUAAAGAAGGCAAC